rnacentral:rRNA from 1 species
GAUGAACGCUGGCGGCGUGGUUAAGACAUGCAAGUCGAACGGUUUUCGUUGAAGGGCAACCGGAUACGAAAGCAGUGGCGAACGGGUGCGUAACACGUGAACAAUCUACCUCCAAGUGGGGAAUAGCUCGCCGAAAGGCGAAUUAAUACCGCAUGUGGUGCUCUCUCGCAUGAGAGGGUUACUAAAAACAGGGACCGCAAAGGCCUGUUGCUAGGGAGAGGAGUUCGCGGCCUAUCAGCUAGUUGGCGAGGUAACGGCUCACCAAGGCUAAGACGGGUAGCUGGUCUGAGA